CUUCUGCAGGCCCAGAGCUGCACCCACCUCAGGGAGUAUAUAAGGACGGUGCUUGCACUGCAGGCAUCUUCAGAUCCAGAGCCCCUCCCAGGCAGCAAGCAAAGGGGAAGCAGCUAGCACCACUAUUAUUCUUCCUUGCCCAUCUCUGUGGAAACAAGCUCUGAGAGGAGUCAGGAUUGGCCUCUGUCCUGUGUUGUAGCCUCACCAUGGAGCAGCUGAGCUUGGCCAACACCCGGUUCGCAGUGGACCUCUUCCGCACCCUGAAGGACAACAACCCCUCUGGGAACAUCUUCAUCUCCCCCAUGAGCAUUUCCUCAGCGCUGGCCAUGGUCUUUCUGGGGGCCAGAGGCACUACCGAGGCACAGAUGUCCAAGGUCAGCAGAAACUAACAAAAGGAGUCUGGGUUCCCUGCAAGUCCCUCCUAAAAAGCUGUGCCUU